GGAUGUGAGGACCAUCUUGUUGGGACAUCUGUCACCCCAUUGAUGAUUAGAGUUGAUUUGGCUGAUCCACCUGGCUGGGUGCAUGUCCCCUUCCUCUUACACCACUCCAUGUGCAACCCUCCCAGAGGGGAUGCUUGGUUGAAGAGUAUGUCCUUCUCUGGGAGUUGUCUGCAUGUCACAGUAGAGUACCUAGGUUUGAUUCCCAGCUCAAACUUCUGAGUCCAGCUUCCUGCUAAUACACACCUGGAAGGCAGCAAAUGAGAGCUUAAGUACUU
rnacentral:snRNA from 1 species